rnacentral:rRNA from 1 species
AUUGAACGCUGGCGGCAGGCCUAACACAUGCAAGUCGAGCGGCAGCGGGAAAGUAGCUUGCUACUUUUGCCGGCGAGCGGCGGACGGGUGAGUAAUGCCUGGGAAAUUGCCCAGUCGAGGGGGAUAACAGUUGGAAACGACUGCUAAUACCGCAUACGCCCUACGGGGGAAAGCAGGGGACCUUCGGGCCUUGCGCGAUUGGAUAUGCCCAGGUGGGAUUAGCUAGUUGGUGAGGUAAUGGCUCACCAAGGCGACGAUCCCUAGCUGGUCUGAGAGGAUGAUCAGCCACACUGGAACUGAGACACGGUCCAGACUCCUACGGGAGGCAGCAGUGGGGAAUAUUGCACAAUGGGGGAAACCCUGAUGCAGCCAUGCCGCGUGUGUGAAGAA